rnacentral:snRNA from 1 species
GGACAUGAGGGCGAUCUGGCUGCGACAUCUGUUACCCCAUUGAUCGCCAGGUUGAUUCAGCUGAUCUGGCUGUCUAGGUGGGUGUUCCCCUCUCUCUCCACUCCAUGUGCAUCCCUCCCGAAGCUGCACACCCGGUCGAAGCGGGCAACCUUCCCCAAUAGAAGAGGACCGUUCUUCGGUCAAGGGUAUAAGGGUAGCUGCGCUCUCCUACUAGAACCUCCAAACAAGCUCUCAAAACAUGGUAUUGGUCACCCACCCAUAUGCAAACAAACUUCAAGCUAAACCU